rnacentral:lncRNA from 1 species
CUCUUUUAUUUGAUUCGACGAUGCGAGUGAAGCAUUGUGGGAUGGCAUUUCAUGAAAAAUCACUUUAUUGAAGUUUCGUUUUAUUUAUUGUCAACACAAGGUGUGGAUAAGACCCAAUAUAGAUGGAAUAAUACGUAUUGUGAAUAUUUAAAUUGUAUUACCACAAAUUAAAAUAUUGUGUUUUCAUUAGAAUACGAUUUUUUUUUAAAACAUUUUUAUAUAACCACAACUUUUCUGUAUAUCGUUCAAGGCUUAUCUCGGACAGUAGUAAAAAAAAGUAAUAAAAAGAAGACAAAAAAUGUACAUUUGAGAGGAAAUUAAACAUAUACAGUAGAUUUUCAGCUUUACAUAUAUAGUUGCAGAGAACAGGAACUCUCAUUUUAAUUGGAAAGGAUUUCUUUAUUCGAUGCCGGUAAGUUUAUAAAUACUUUUGCUAUUUUCUGAAAGCAUAUACACAUGCAGACUGGACCAUACAACGUAAUAGACAUUAAACAAAUGCGCUAAUACGUGUUUUUCGGUUACAUUAUAAAACGUCCCCUCUAAACUAUGCUCUCGCUCAGAUGGCUCACGUACAACCUAUUGAAAGCGAUCACAUGCACUUCAGUAUUUUUCUUCUAUUUAGCUGGAAAUUACUUAUACAAUAUAACAUAAAAGGAUUUUUACAUAGAAAACGUUGGUUGUGUGAAACUAGUCAGUGCUUUAAGGGACUUAUCAUGUACGUGUUUGUAAAAAUAAUUAGUGAGUUGCUCAGGGGACAUGCAUUGGAAAAUCACUUGUACAUUAAUUACAAUUAUACAUUCAAACAGACGUGUACUGAUUAUUUUAGACAAUUUAUUGUUUCCCUAUAAACAAUAAUCCGUAUUAUAGGUAAGACAUUUCUACAAAUUAUUAUUUCGUUGACAAUAUUAUCAGAAUCAAUUAUUAGUGAUUUUUACAAUUAUUAUUUUUCCGUAUACAUACAGCUUCUUGUCUAUUUGUUAACCACUUUUAAAGAUUAUUUACAUAUCAUUUUCUUCUCUUUGCUUAUAUAUAUAUAUGUAUUAAGUGGAAAAUAAAUAAAGAAUAUUGUCAUAUGAAAAAGAAAUAUAAAUAUAUGCUGUAGUUAGCAAUAUAGGAGUAAUUUAUAGGGUUACUUUCGUGAUUUUUUCAAAGCGUGCACAUUUGUUGGCACAGAUCGUCCCUUCACAACGUGAUUAAUAUUUUUGGAAGAUUCUGUACUUUUAUGGGACGUUCCGUUAAGCUUUUCUAUUCAUGUAAAAAUCAGGAGAUGUUAGCAAACGAUCUAUUAAAAUUCACAAGUCAAGGAGAAACGAAGAAAAUUAUGGCAAAAAACAACGAUAAUCGACAAAAAGGGCAUGUACAGCACCCUACUUAUUGUGCUUCGGAAGGUUAAGCACAACCUGAUCUAAAUGAAGCAUCCGUUGAAAUGUCAAGGUAGCAAUACCCAGUUAUGAAAUUUAAAAAAAAAUGACACACAUAUUUUUUUAACUUCCCUCGUUUCCUUGCUUUAUCACAAAUCAUAUAUAUAGAAACAAAAUUCAUAUUCCGCAGAUUUGAUUUCCAAUACGUAGUCAAUAAUAAAAUCUAAUAUUUUUGUUUGUGUAACCAUAGCAACAGUCUGCAUUUAUUUGAUACAAAAUAUUGCAAAAAAAAGGGGGUGAUACUGUUACAUACGUCCACAAAUUUUCUAAUCAUAUUCAGUAUAUUAAUAAUAACUAAUUCUAAGGACCCAGGAUAGAUAUUAAAUAAUUGUUUAAAGACUUCUGAUUUGAAAGCUUAGUUAGUUUAAUUCCCACCCACUCAUCUUUAGAGAAGAUGUAUGCAUACUAUGAAAACACAUUAGAUUAUCUUCAAAUAUAUUAAAGGUACUCGUGUAGGUUUCUUACAUUUUUAUACAAAUAAUGUCUAAUCCGUUUGUCAUUUUUGAACAAUCAAAUAUGUUUAAUAAACUACAUUUUCAUACAAAAAACUAAUAAAAAAUAAUAAGAAUUGAAAUCGAAUCAAAAUAAUUUGUUAUGGCCACAAAAAUUGGAAAAUAUAGCUAUCUCAACACAAAACAAUAUAAAUUAUGUAAUAUAUCGUUUGUAUAAUGCUAAAUACUAACAACAACUGGUUUAAAUUACUAAACACGUCACGUAUGUUAUCAAAUAUGGGAGGUUUAGAGGUGUAGUAAUAUCGUUUCACUCUUUAUCUCAUUUUCCCAACUUUACAUUACUACAACACGCACAUCAGUGCAGCGUUUUAAAAAUACUGUGUUGUAUUACUGACAAUAAGACCACUUCCUACAAUGCAAAGACCAAAAAACACAGGCAUAAGUAUAUACAUGCCGAAACCAUGAUAUCAGUGAUAAAGUUUUGUUCAUUGUUGAAGGCAGUGACCACUGUCCUGUAGUUGCUUACUUAAUUUCCUACGUCAUUGUUGAAGGCAGUGACCACUGUCCUGUAGUUACUUAAUUUCCUACGUCAUUGAAAUGGCGUAGGAAAUUAAGUAAGCAACUACAGGACAGUGGUCACUGCUUUCAACGUUACUUAAUUUCCUACGUCAUUGAAAUGGCGUAGGAAAUUAAGUAAGCAACUACAGGACAGUGGUCACUGCUUUCAACAAUGACGUAGGAAAUUAAGUAAGCAACUACAGGACAGUGGUCACUGCCUUCAACAAUGACGUAGGAAAUUAAGUAAGCAACUACAGGACAGUGGUCACUGCCUUCAACAAUGACGUAGGAAAUUAAGUAAGCAACUACAGGACAGUGGUCACUGCCUUUAACAAUGAACAAAACUUUAUCACUGAUAUCAUGGUUUCGGCAUGCAUAUACUUAUGCAUGUGUUUUAUUUUGUUGGUUUAUUUGUACAAUUCUAAAACAUCAAAUCUUAAAUUUACCUCCCAACCCGCAUUGUUCGUAUUAAAACAAACAUACGACUUUCGUUGCAGGCGUGACAAAAAAAAACCUGGUAGAAGUAUUUAACCUUAACUUUUUGCUGCAAUGCAUGCUAAACAUAAUUUAAGUCUCACGAAGUUUUUUUCUUCUUGUGUAUAUCUAAGCUUCUAACAAUAAUUACUAUUUGGUGUUUCACGGACAUGUUGAUUAUAUUUAAUCUAUUAACGACGAAUAUGUCGGUUUAAUAUACUAAAGUAAAUACAUGUGAAACAUAUAAUAUAAUUAUACUCUAUCAGCUGUAGGUAAUUUUCUACAAUACGUUAAAAAAUUGCGUUGUUCAAGCGUUUAUUGCCCGUUGACAGGUUAUCACGAGAACAACUACAAACAAUAGCUAUAAUACUUAAAUUGAACCAGUUGUGGUUGUGAUUUCUUAAUUUUGCGUCCGCUUGUUUUUUUUUUUUUAUUUUGUGUAUGCUUUUAUACUGGCGGGUAGGUAUUAAAAUUAUAACUUGACUCAAUUAACGUACUUGUUACUAAAAAAAAUAUACCCAGACACGAACAAAUCUUAAUACUCUGUCCAUGUAUAAUAUAUAAUCUCAAAAUGUCAAUUUCUGGAUAACUAUCUACAUGAAAAGCAGUGGUAUUUUAAAACGUGGAGUAGUAAUUGCUAAAAAUAGAUAUCAUAACUUCUCUUUGGUUUUUUUUAAACUUUAACAUGCAUUUUCUUUAUUAUGUGUACAGUGUAUGUGUGUGAUAAGUAUAUACUAUAAGGUGAAUGUACAUACAUACGUAUGCAUGUAACAAAGUACCUGCAAGCUACAAUAGAUUGUUAGUCCAUCACAAAUCAUUCCUGAUUUAUUACAUUAUGACUUUGAUUUGCACAAGUAACACAAUUGUAUAAAACAAAGAUGUGUGACUCAGCAACAAGACAGUCAAGCCCAGCUUUAUUGAUAUUGAAAAAAACGUAAUUCAUUCAUUAAUUUCCAUUUUUAACAUAUGAACUAUAGGACCCUCGUUCUGUGUUAUUUUUUUAGUAUUUUUCUUUACCCCCCCCCUUUUUUUAAAACAUUUUGUGGCCUCUCUGGAUCCCCUCUUUUUGAAAAUUCUGAAACCGACACUGACUUUUGUUCGAUUUGUUUAUUGAAAAUAAUUGCAUAUUUCGAAAGAAAAACUUAAGGUUAAAUUCGAUAUUGCUUUUGAAAUUAUUUAUAACACUCCUGUUUAAUCAUUGAAUUGUAUAUUAUCUGAUUAAUAAUGUUAAUUUUGAUUGAGAAGAUUUUCCAUAUUGCUGCGUCGGAGGCAUGUCCCUUUUAAUGUCUUGCAGGAUGUAACUAUUACAUAUCACCGCAAUUAUAUGAUAAAGAUCAAUAAAGUCAAAAAAUGGGGCGGGACACUUUGGGAAGCCGCAAUAAAUUUUCACCUCGUUGAAUUCGGUAUUGUAAGUUUAUGGAAAGUUUUACGACACAAAGGCGCAAAUCCUUUUUAAAUUAUUUUAAAAAUCUAUGCGUAAAUGUAAAUAAGUUUUUACAUUUAUUUACCAUAUUCGUUGCCGUUCAGCGUUCGUUUCUUACACUAGAUAUAGGAAGAUGUGGUAUGAGUGUCAAUGAGACAACUCUCCAUCCAAACUAGGUCUUCUAUAGCAAGUUUUUUUCUGCUUACUUUUUUAUUCGUAUAUUUUUACCUUCAAGACUUGUUUAUAUAUCUGUAUAGUACCUGAGUAAGCAAGAUCGAUACUUUGGUGUCUUAAGUCUUUUUAUUUGUUGUUGUUCCUUAAUUUGUUGAUUUAAUUAGUCGAUACUUUUUCAACUGGUGAGUAUAGUGUAUGCAUGUGUUGUGCUAUUACACUACAGUAACUUUCCCAUGUUAGGGAAGAUAUCUAAUGCUAUUUAAUGGUUUGUCGUUUGUUCAUGUAUAUCAUAUGAUAUUUUGUUUUAGUAAUUUUCAAAUAAAUAAAGACCGGUUAAAUAAAGCGUUAGUUUUUUUUGUUUGAAUUAUUUUACAUUUGCCCCCCCCCCCUUUUUUCGAAAUCAGCUUCUGCAUGUCAUUAUUUAUUUUCAUAUACAUCCCUUGCAAUUGCUCCUUUUUACUUAUAUUUGACAUGUGAUAUAGAUUGUAAAUGAUUUAUUUGUUAUGCAUAUUGUGCUUAACUGUCAGGUGGUAAAAUUACGUAUUCAAAUACACAACAGCCGUGUUACAAAAUCUUACAACACUGAAACAUCUGACAAACAAUCGAUUCAAUGUAACAAUAUGAUUUUGUUAGUACUGAAGAGAUACAAACAAAUACUUUUGUUUUUCUUGAAUUUUGAGAUAGACUACAUAUCUAGAUUAAUGGUAAGUUUCUGUUUUCGCUUGCAUACUUACUAUGGGUCUGGGUGUGUGUUCCUUCAUCUCAUUAGAUCAACUAAUUAGAAUUAGAUGUUUGCUAUUCAUUUUCCGCCCUAUUUUCUCUUUUAGUUUAUGAUUAAUUUACCAGCCCAUUAUUAUUUAUUUUUUAUUAUGUUUGCCCAUUAUUUUCUAUUUUGAAAAACCGUCCAGAACGAGGGGGUGUCCAGCAGAGGCGGAUUUAAUGGGGCAGGGGGAAAUUUUGUUGAUUAUAUAGCGAAUCACUGAAGCAUGACCGGAGCAAGCCCCUUCUUCGGCAGUCAGUGGGCCCCCACUUAUGAAAAUUUCUGGAUCCGCCAAUGUCCAGUCAUCCCAUAAAAGGUAGGGGUUUCCUACCCCAAUUAAAAGCAUUGAUCGCCGAAAGGGGGGUUUCAACCCCGGAACCCCCACCCCUGGAUCCGCCCCUGCCAGGACCUGCCUGCAUUAAUAAUUGCAUGCAUUAUUUUCUCUUUCGAAUUAUUAAUGAUAUAUUUUGUUAGGGAGCUACCAUUUGAUUUUUAUGGGGGGGGGGGGGGGGGGGGGGCUAGGAUGAAAAAUUUUUGUCCUGCAUUUUUUUUAGCUGUAAUCUCUGUCCUGCCUUUUAAUUUUUCACUCUGUUCGGUCCUGCCUUUUUUUUAAGUUUAUCCUGACUUUUUUUUACCUAAAUUGUCGUCCUGACUUUUUUUUUUUGGCAAGUGUCCUCAUCCUGCCUUUUUUUUUACUCAAAGUUCCUGUCCUGCCUAUUUUUUUCAAAUUUCAUCCUAGCCCCCCCCCCACCAUAAAAAUCAAAUGGUAGCUCCCUUAUGUGGUGACCUCGUUUUAAAACUUAUUAUAAAGUAUUGCUCAUUAUUGAAAGCUGUUUUGCAUGAGGUUUUGUUUUAAUUAUCUUUUCCAUUAUUUUUUUAUCCUAUGCCUUUUCAUAUUGACCUUUGAAUGGCAGACCUUUUAUGUAUUUCUUUUUGCAGGGUCUGGAUUGGUCCUGUCCUUUUUUUUUUUUUUUUAACAUUCUUUAAAUUUUAUGGGCAUAUUUUUGUUUUAUCUUUUAAAUUAGCGCUUAUUCUAUUGUGCACCCAAUUGUUUUCAUUUUAUUUUUUUUUAUAUUUUCCUUAUUUUUCUCUCUUUAUCAUUCAUGAUUUUUAGCCAUAAUUAUCUAUUCUGUAAACCCCAUACACCUUAUCGCUAUUUGUCCGCCAUUGGCAUUGCUGGAUAUCACACAGGUUCCCGUAAUAUUUUGACGUCAUAAAACAAAAUAUCUAACGCCACAAUGGAAAAGUGAUUGUUGUAUGCGUCAAAAGUUCAAGCGGCCGGGUCAGCCGGGAUUAGCGAUAAGGUGUAUUCAGAUCCUCGACCAUGACUCAAUCGAUUGUGAUGCGGGCCGUGAUACUCCCAAAUCGAAAACAUUUUUUUUAUUCGAAUUUAUUGCUUGCAAAAAUAUUGGCCAUUGUACGAUUAAUUUUCAAUAAAGAAGAACAUAGUCAACACUUUUUUCUUACAUGACGUAGCUGAAAACGUCAAAUCUCAGGGUUAAUCAUGACGUCACACGUAAUUUCUAAUGGCCGAACUUCCUGCGUAAACAAUGCACUUAAAUAAAACCAGCACAGUACUUGCUGAGGACAUCUUUGCUUGAUAAUGUCAAAGAUGUUGUUCUAGCAAAAAUUCCUAUGAAUUUAACCAAUUGUACCGGAGGGCAAUGUGGCCUUAAUAUCAACUUGAAUAUUCCUCGCUAUGAUCAUUCAGCACAACACGAGUCUGCUGUCAUUCUUUUCAUAACCGUAUCAUUAGCGGUUGGUGGUAAGCAAUAAUAAUAUAUGUAUUUUAUGCUUUUAUUUCAGACUAUGGAAUAUCAACUAAUAGUUAAAUGAAAAAAUACUAGCAGAAUGGAACUAUAACAUUUAAAUAUCUGAAUGGAAUAAAAGUGCACCAUGGUGAAUUUGACAAGUGUCCCUCCGAAUACAACGGAAGUCGCUAAGCAUCAUGUUGAGGAAAAACAAUCGGCAAUUUUAUUUUUCAUAUUUUGUUGUUGUGCCGUUGGAG